rnacentral:rRNA from 1 species
CAGGUUGAUAGGUCUGAGGUGGAAGCGUGGUGACACGUGGAGCUGACAGAUACUAAUAGAUCGAGGACUUAACCUAUAUU